rnacentral:misc_RNA from 1 species
CCCCUUAAUUGCCCGGACCGACACCGGUCACCGGAAUAGUGAAAUAUACCAGGCUAUGCAACGGGGGUGUUACAACAACUCAUUCUUCAAGUACAAACAAUUUGUGAGUGAAUUUGACAUGUACAUGCUCUCUAAUUUCUUUCACAAAACAACUGAUAAAGUUUUGUCUAAAACAUUAUACUUCAUAUCAGGAGUUAACGUUAAUCUAAUUGUACUCACUGCCCUUUGUUGAAGUUCUUCCUAAUCAUCAUCUUUUACGGUCAUCGGUCGCUUCUUGUUCAGAGUUUUGAUUAAUCUUUAUUGUACAAGGACAUUCUUCAUAGUACUUUGCCAUAAACUAAAAUUAUUUUUCCUAUCAAAUAACUCUACCUCAAAUUUUGCAUUUACCAUUUUUGACAUCUCGAACCUGGCUCUAAUACCACUUGUUAUGAAAUCACACCCACACAAAAUUUAAUGUGAUUUGGCAUAAGCUUACUCUACCAAUAAAUCUAUUAACAAAAGAAAAAAUAAUUAUAACUACUAAUUAUUUUUCUCACCCAUAAAUCACUCAUAACUUAUGUCACAAAGCACUCAAACAAUGCUCACAAUUCUAUAGACUAAAUCGCAACUCUUCACUCUGUGAGCUCUUUAUCAUAUAAUGGCUAACCAACUACUUAUAUAUAGGCCACUAAAAAACUAGUCUUUUUAGGACUCUAAUUA